UACGUAGGGUGCGAGCGUUAAUCGGAAUUACUGGGCGUAAAGCGUGCGCAGGCGGUUCGUUAUGUCCGAUGUGAAAGCCCCGAGCUCAACUUGGGAAUGGCAUUGGAAACUGGCGGGCUGGAGUGUGGCAGAGGGGGGUGGAAUUCCACGUGUAGCAGUGAAAUGCGUAGAUAUCGGGAGGAACACCUGUGGCGAAAGCGGCUCACUGGACCACAACUGACGCUGAUGCACGAAAGCUAGGGGAGCAAACAGG
rnacentral:rRNA from 1 species